ensembl:lncRNA
UGGUAUGCGCCGGGCUGCGGCAGCGCGGCAAGGCGGGCGCGGCCCCCGGCAUCGCCGCGCCGUGGUAGGCGCCUCCGGGGGCGGGCUGUGGCCCGGCUCGGGGAGCGGAGCCUGCCGGUACUCGUGCGGCCCUGCGGGGCUGUCCGUCUCCGGGUCGCUCCUUUGCAGCUCUUCCCGCUUCGGCUUUUCCUUCGUGUUCGCGCAGCGCUCUGUUGGCGGGGCUGACGGACAAAGGGCGGUGUGGGAGCGGGGUUGUCGGGCUGAGCCUGGCGGGGCAGCUGCCUGAUGUGCGCCCGUCUGACUCCUGUGCCGGGGAGAGCUGGGGAGAAAGGCGAGGCUUUGUGCUUUGGAGCCCCGUCCUGCGGCCUCGCUGGGCGGUGAGGGGCCCGUCCUGUGCUGGGGAGGCCGUGGGAGAGCACAGGGAGACCAGCGGCAGGGAGAGCUGCAGGUUGGCAUAACGGCCCUGCGGGUUUGACUGAAACGAGGGGUGAAACGCCACUCUUAGUUCUUCAGUGAAGUGCUACAGCACAUAACGUUGGAUUUCUUUCAUAUAGCUUGUUAUAAGAACAUACGUUGUAUAAUCAAUGAGUAUAUAGACGUAAAAUCAGUGACAAUACAGAGAAGAAUACUGGGCUUACCAAAAAAAAGACUCCACGAGGAGCCAUCUCCAGGGAGAGACCCCUCCCCAGCGGCAGUCAGCCCUGGAAUGGGCUCUAGCAGAGGUGCAGCCUGGCUCCAGCCCUUCCACUCACACAGCUCAACUGCCCUCACCUGUGCUCCCACGGCUGACUCAGCGCUCGCCUCAGGUGGUCAAUCAGAGGUUCAGGCCGUGAUUCAACAGGUCCUGUACAUACAUCCACUGAAAAACGUGGAGUUUAUGCAGAUAAAAGCCACAUGCGUUGUGGUAACUGCCUUUUUACUUGUGUAUCUACAGGGAGCAGCACGCCAGCACUGUUUCCUAGAACCUGUCGCUUACUGUGCAGGUGAGCUCAGUGUAACUGCGUCUGUAGUUUCUCAUAAUCGGUUGUGACUGUGGCCCUUUAGAUGUGCUCUCCAAAAGAAGCACUGCUAGAAGUGUGAUGGCUUCCAAAUGUGGAAGCAUUUCUGCAGGUGUCCUGCUCUUGUCUUUUAACAAGUCUGUUCAACAGUAGGCCUAAGUUCCCUUCUGCUACCAAAAUCCAGGAAUGAAACUUGACGACGUGAAUGACAGAUUAGGAAGCAGAUAUUACUUUAUUGCAGUGCUUGGUGCGUGAGGGAUUGCUCCUCACCAUCUGAAAGCACACAGAUUUUGUAUGCUUUAAUACACAAAUAUUCAUAGGGUUUCCUCAGAGUGCCCACCUAGUCCCAGAAUUGCUAUACAUAUUAAAAUCUGGUACUAUGCAUAAACCCAUGUUAGUGUGGUUUUUUUGCAAGGGGGCCUGUGGUGGUUGUGAGGUUCCACUGGGAGGUGCUAUCCAGGUGAAGGGUUGUCUGUUAUGUAGGCCAGGUCCUGUACUUGGUCAAGAACCUAUUUACAAAACCAUGACCGUUGACUUAGUUUCUAAUGAGCACAUCAAUCUUGUUACAGUGCUUGUAUCAUCAGCCCUACAGUGUACCUCCUCAAGGCUGGUGAAAUGCUGAGGCUCUACUUUUAGGCUCCAGAAGUCCUGCUUAUCUAGGACAGAGUCUUCUCUAGACAAAAUACCAGUCGGCUGAAGAGUUUGAACUCAUUGCUAAAGGCUCUGAACUUAUUGCCAGGUAUGAAUAUGAGGAUUUAUAGGGUUUUUGCAAGAUGGGAUCCCACAAAGAUCGCAAGCUAUCAUUUGUGACUGCAGCGAGACUGUACUGCUGCAGUGGUAUUCUUUGAGGGGAACCUGAAAUCUGCUGAUAGAAAUGGUUUCUCUGCCACUAGUUUUCAUUAAAGCCAAAUGUAUCUGUGAAGUUAAUUCAUUAUCUCAUAGUAAAGAACAGCUCACACACGUAAGCUGAAUUUGUUUUGUGAAAUGCACAGAUUAUUUUGCUUACAGGGUUUUAAAAUAUACUGUCUCCAGGCUGAACAAAUGCCUAGUUUCACUGGGCCCAGGUGAGAACAUCUGAUUAGGAGUUCUCAUCUAAAUAAGGUAUGAAAUUCCCAACCAGCUCUCCAGUGAGGGCUGAAUACAUGUGAAGAGAGCAGCAAAAUGUGUGUACCUCCAUCGAAUCUCUGUAGGCAGCACAGUGCUUGGGAAAAGCUUUACCUGGUGUUCAUCAUGAGUAGGAGUCGUCCCCACCUGUGAAGCCUGGGUUCCUGAUGGAGAAGUUGCUGAUCCUCCUUACCUGUGUCAUCCAAGUGGUUUAGAGGAAUCAUGCCAUCGGACACAGAUCAGUAAUGCUUGUUGCUUGAUCCAACUGCUGUAUAGCUGAUGAAUUCAUGGAUUUAAGACAAAUAAUCCGUAUUUCAUUACUAGCAAGUGCUAGAAAUAAAAAUGUACUCUGCACUAUUGCUUGGAAAAACAAAUCCUGAAGUCGUAAGAGAGGAUUAAAGUUGGAAAAAAAUCUCUCAAGAGAAAAACGAAGGGAGUAAUGACAUCUGCUUAGCAGCAUCCAGCCCCUCAGCCUGCAGCACGGACCUCUGGAGCCCUUACACACGGAAUAAAAGGGGAUGCAGUGAGUGAGGAGCAGCAGAACUGCAAGCAGAGCAGCGCUACUGGUGUAAGAUGGCAUUAGGAAGAGUGGAGUUUUGUUAAUGGGUCAUGGAAAGUAGGUUCUACCUCUCAUAAUGCAAACUGUCUUAUUUUUGUUUCAUUUCCUUCCCAGGGUGGUGUUCUACCAUGGCAGUAAACAAAGCCAUCGGUUGCAGACUUCUGCACCAAUUCAGGUGGCUCCAUUGCAGGUAUAAGGUUGGAGGUGUGAGGUUUCUCAGCAGUGGGACGUUACCACCUAGCUGUGAGCUGGCUUUACUCUGGUGGGCGUCCUGCUGUUCUCCCACAGUGAGCUGUGUUCUGGUUCUGUUGGAAGGCUGCCCAGUCCUUCUGCCGGGUUUAUAUUCCACUUAAACGCAUGGCUAUUCAAGUGACCAACCUUUUGGAGUGUCUCGUUUGGCUUUGACUUAAACAUUUGCUGCUCCUACCCCUUCCUACAGAGGCCUUUUUAUAGGUGGCCUGUAGUGCCAUAUAGUUUUUGCUUAGAGUUGAGCAUUUUCCUAAGCUUAUGGGGUUAACCACGAUUAUGGGAGAGUUCUUGAAGCAUUUUUGAAUGUAAUGCUUUUAUUUAAUGUUUGUAAGCAAGUUCAAAGGUGUCAGAUACAAAUGUCCCAGUAUGGCACAAGGACGAGACGUGGCAUUGGGGAUUGGGCUGUUCUGUUGCUAGUGCACACAAAUGUGGCAAUGAACUUUUUCCCUCGUGCUUUAGAGCAUUAAAACAGCUGUUUUGGAUCAGAGCAAAGUGGGCAGCAGCUGUGGCAGUGAUCUGCCUGUGAUUAGUGGGCUCAGGCACUCGUGGAGUCACAGAUGGGCUUUGUGCUCUUAAGGGCACUGUGCUUUUAGGGCUCCCGCUUUUGCACCAGUGUGCUUCUUGAAGUGCUAAAAGUUUUCCCAGCUGGAAGUCCUCACAGCAUCACACAGCAAAGAGCUCUGGGUUUCAGCAUCCACACAAAGGCAUCGCGCAGUCCGCCUGUGUUCCAAUGGGCACAAACAGCACUGAUUGCGUAUUAAAGCCAUUGUCACCAUCACAACCUGGGAGGAGAGCAGAGUGCCAGGACGCUGCAGGACCCCGAAGAUUAUGUCUUAUAAAUAAACAGCUCAAAUUUGUCUGAAGCCUCAGCGUGCGAUGUAUGGAGCGUUGCAUUCUGACUGUGUUACGCCAAGAUUGCUGCUAAUAGCUUUUGGCAGCACAGCCACCAAGUCAGAAAGCUGAGAUGAUUGCGGAUUGUCUGCUUCCAUACAUAUCAUACAGCUGCCUGGAAGACGGUGGAGGCAGCGCCUAAUUGAUGUUUGUUCUUGUCAAUGUGUGAUCAGGUUUUGAUGCAAGGUUCUCCUCUUUUGUGCUCUUCUGGUCAAAUUUUCGUUUAAAUUUGUAUUCUGUGCUGAACAGUAGUGCCAGCAGAACCAUAAGCGAGGAGUUUAAAUUUAGGAUGUGUUGCAGAAAUCCAAAAAUGCUUUACUGUUUGGGUAAAAACGUUUUUGUGUUUUUUUUUCCCCUUCAGCUGCUGCUCUGCAUGCCGUAAAACAGCAUCCGAAGGGUUUGCUCUGAAAGCAUCUCUUUGUGCCCUGGGCCAGUGACCCCACUGCUGUGCCAGUAAAUCAUGGCAAGCUGGAGGAAUCUCCCUGAUUUCUGAGCUCCUAAUCCCGCAAAGCCUGUAAAUGAUGGCUGGCUUAGCUUUGUUUCUGAUAAAACGAGGCUUAUGAGAUGAUGACAUUUGCUGCCUGUUUCUCCUCCGCUCCGUUCCGUGUCACCACCCAAGAGAUCUCUGGAGCCCAUCAGUGCAAGGCUGUGUGCCUAGUGCUACAACACUACCGCGUGCUGGAGAGCAGGGAGGAGCCUGGGUGAAUGUAUGGGAAUGAAUUUGGCUGUGUUAGCACUCCGAUCCCCUUCUGUAUGAUGUGCUUCCCCUGUUCUGCAGUGUCUGAUGCAGGUAUUGGGUCAGCCCAGUGAUGUUUGCUUCCUGGAGAGCACGCAUGGAACCUGCUGAUGGAGUUUGUUAACAGCCCUGCUGUUCCUUAAGCCAAGCUGGGUUUUUGCUUUGAUAAAACCUCUGGGCAUGGUGUGUGGCUGUACAGAGUGUGAGAACUCGGGGAGGUUCUUUACUCUGAGAGUGGCGAG